ensembl:lncRNA novel transcript
UGCUCGAGAUCUGCAGUGGCUGCCGGGUGCGGAGCGCCGGCCGGGGGUGGGCUCUCCAGGGCUGCUAGGCCCCUGCCCUCACCUGCGGCCGCCCGGCCCCGCCCUAGGUGUGCCGUCAAUGGAUCAUGAAGAUGGAGGUGGUGGCUCAUGCCUGUUAAUCCCCACACUAUGAGAGGCUGAGGCAGGAGGAUCACUUGGGGCCAGUAGUUUGAGACCAGCCUGGGCAACAUGGCAAGACUCCAUCUCUACAAAAAAAUGCAAAAAGAAAUCAGUGGACCAUGUAUGUACACAUCUAUUUUGGAUUCAUGCCUGUAAGAUACUGAGCGUCGACCAGGCGCAGUGGCUCACAACUGUAAUCCCAGCACUUUGGGAGGCUGAGAUGGGUGGAUCACCUGAGCUCGGGAGUUCGAGACCAGCCUGAACAACAUGGAGAAACCCCAUCUCUACUAAAAAUACAAAAUUAGCUGGGCAUGGUGGCGCAU